CAGAAAGAACAUAUUUUGAACUGGAUUUUUAAAAGAUUUCUCAUUUGUUUCAUCUUGGGCAACAUUUUUUACCCUGACCCUGAUGUUUUUUUGUUUGUUUGUUUGUUUGUUUGUUUGUUUGUUUGUUUGUUUUUGUCAUUGCUUAGUACAGUCUCCAGGUUCCAUGCACAUCAGUUGCUCAAUGGUUCUUAUUUGCAUCAGAUAUUAUGAUACAGAGCUCCAGUGUGUGCUGCUGGCCUGUGCUGAGGUAAUGGUAGUGGUGGGACCUGCAUGAGGGGUUCACUGUUCAAAUUGGAGAUGAAGCUGGUAAAGUCAGUAGCAUAUAGCUUGGGAGAUUGUUACACAGGAGCAGCUCUAUUCUACAGCACUGAGAGAAGACGCUCCACUUACACAAGUGAUGACUGUGUGGAUAUAGCCAGCGGGAGUUAAAGGGAGUGAUUGAGCGGGUGAGGAAAACACUACUGUCACUCUUUCAAUCAAACUGCCACCUUGACCACUUGGUACAGACCAAUAAACAAGCUUGAUGGAUGGCCAGUCUAUCACAGAGCUAACACAUUGUGGGGGAAACAGGAGUAUCUGGAGGAAACCCAUGCAAACAUAAUGGAGAACAUGCAAAUUCCACACAGAAAAGCCUCCUGGAGUCCCAGACUGUGUGCAAAAGUGUUACAGUCCCCUCACAUUCCCUGUCUCAGCUAUAUACAGAGGGAGACCCACAGGCCUGCAGUAUAGCUAAUCUGACCACAGAAACACCCUUCCUGGACAAAUUAUACUUUAAAGAGGAGUAAAGAAGGGGAAGAAAAGGCGACAAAAAAAAAAAAAAUCAAAAGCAUUAUAAAAUAACAUAAAGGGAAGAUCGGAGGAGACGGGAAAAGGCUGAGACAAGAGAUUAACUGAAAUAACCUGAAACUUAAAAGGGUAAGUUAAUUUUUUGGAUGAACUCAGUAAUAUUGCAGUCUAUGAUUGCAUGUGGAAAGUUCUGGAAAUGAAAGGUAUAGGCCUGAGUGGGACUGAUCAGUGAUGUUAUAUGAGCAAGAGCCAGAAUCACUUGCAUCGCUCAGCACUCUGGCCCAAAAGCGCACAUUCCCACAUCCCAGCGCACCACUUUAAAGAGUGUCCCGGCUGCUCUGGUUCGCCACUCCCUGAGGAAACUGCAACUCUGAAACGGCAAAUAUCAAUACAUUCAUUAUGCACUUUAUAUUUAUACAUUUAUACUCAUGCUUUUAUAUAAUCCUUGUAUUUUGUUGCUAAUAGUAUUUUUAGAGAGGAGUUGCAAGGCCACACUAGACUGGCAGAGAAACUGUAUGUUUGUCAAGUGGGUAUGCAAGACACACACACACA